rnacentral:rRNA from 1 species
UGUUUCGGCAAGGGGGUCAUCCCGACUUACCAACCCGAUGCAAACUGCGAAUACCGGAGAAUGUUAUCACGGGAGACACACGGCGGGUGCUAACGUCCGUCGUGAAGAGGGAAACAACCCAGACCGCCAGCUAAGGUCCCAAAGUCAUGGUUAAGUGGGAAACGAUGUGGGAAGGCCCAGACAGCCAGGAUGUUGGCUUAGAAGCAGCCAUCAUUUAAAGAAAGCGUAAUAGCUCACUGGUCGAGUCGGCCUGCGCGGAAGAUGUAACGGGGCUAAACCAUGCACCGAAGCUGCGGCAGCGACGCUUAUGCGUUGUUGGGUAGGGGAGCGUUCUGUAAGCCUGUGAAGGUGUGCUGUGAGGCAUGCUGGAGGUAUCAGAAGUGCGAAUGCUGACAUAAGUAACGAUAAAGCGGGUGAAAAGCCCGCUCGCCGGAAGACCAAGGGUUCCUGUCCAACGUUAAUCGGGGCAGGGUGAGUCGACCCCUAAGGCGAGGCCGAAAGGCGUAGUCGAUGGGAAACAGGUUAAUAUUCCUGUACUUGGUGUUACUGCGAAGGGGGGACGGAGAAGGCUAUGUUGGCCGGGCGACGGUUGUCCCGGUUUAAGCGUGUAGGCUGGUUUUCCAGGCAAAUCCGGAAAAUCAAGGCUGAGGCGUGAUGACGAGGCACUACGGUGCUGAAGCAACAAAUGCCCUGCUUCCAGGAAAAGCCUCUAAGCAUCAGGUAACAUCAAAUCGUACCCCAAACCGACACAGGUGGUCAGGUAGAGAAUACCAAGGCGCUUGAGAGAACUCGGGUGAAGGAACUAGGCAAAAUGGUGCCGUAACUUCGGGAGAAGGCACGCUGAUAUGUAGGUGAAGUCCCUCGCGGAUGGAGCUGAAAUCAGUCGAAGAUACCAGCUGGCUGCAACUGUUUAUUAAAAACACAGCACUGUGCAAACACGAAAGUGGACGUAUACGGUGUGACGCCUGCCCGGUGCCGGAAGGUUAAUUGAUGGGGUCAGCGCAAGCGAAGCUCUUGAUCGAAGCCCCGGUAAACGGCGGCCGUAACUAUAACGGUCCUAAGGUAGCGAAAUUCCUUGUCGGGUAAGUUCCGACCUGCACGAAUGGCGUAAUGAUGGCCAGGCUGUCUCCACCCGAGACUCAGUGAAAUUGAACUCGCUGUGAAGAUGCAGUGUACCCGCGGCAAGACGGAAAGACCCCGUGAACCUUUACUAUAGCUUGACACUGAACAUUGAGCCUUGAUGUGUAGGAUAGGUGGGAGGCUUUGAAGUGUGGACGCCAGUCUGCAUGGAGCCGACCUUGAAAUACCACCCUUUAA